rnacentral:rRNA from 1 species
CUCGUAGGUGGCUUUGUAAGUCGGAGGUGAAAGACCACGGCUCAACCGUGGAAACGCCUUCGAAACUGUGAAGCUUGAGGCUGGGAGAGGAAAUCGGAAUUCCUGGUGUAGCGGUGAAAUGCGUAGAUAUCAGGAGGAACACCGGUGGCGAAGGCGGAUUUCUGGACCAGUUCUGACACUGAUGAGCGAAAGCCAGGGGGAGCAAACA